rnacentral:rRNA from 1 species
UUAAAGUUGUUGCAGUUAAAAAGCUCGUAGUUGAACCUUGGGCCUGGCUGGCCGGUCCGCCUCACCGCGUGCACUGGUCCGGCCGGGCCUUUCCUUCUGGGGAGCCGCAUGCCCUUCACUGGGUGUGUCGGGGAACCAGGACUUUUACUUUGAAAAAAUUAGAGUGUUCAAAGCAGGCCUAUGCUCGAAUGCAUUAGCAUGGAAUAAUAG